rnacentral:sRNA from 1 species
GCCAGGUGUGGUGGUGCACUCCUAUAAUCCCAGCAGCUUAGGGGAGGCUGAGGCAGGAGGAUGGUGAGUUUAAAGCCAGCCUCUG